rnacentral:rRNA from 1 species
AGUGAACGCUGGCGGUAGGCCUAACACAUGCAAGUCGAACGGCAGCACAGUAAGAGCUUGCUCUUACGGGUGGCGAGUGGCGGACGGGUGAGGAAUACAUCGGAAUCUACUUUUUCGUGGGGGAUAACGUAGGGAAACUUACGCUAAUACCGCAUACGACCUACGGGUGAAAGCAGGGGAUCUUCGGACCUUGCGCGAUUGAAUGAGCCGAUGUCGGAUUAGCUAGUUGGCGGGGUAAAGGCCCACCAAGGCGACGAUCCGUAGCUGGUCUGAGAGGAUGAUCAGCCACACUGGGACUGAGACACGGUCCAGACUCCUACGGGAGGCAGCAGUGGGGAAUAUUGGACAAUGGGCGCAAGCCUGAUCCAGCCAUACCGCGUAGGUGAAGAAGGCCUUCGGGUUGUAAAGCCCUUUUGUUGGGAAAGAAAAGCAGCAGGUUAAUACCCCGCUGUUCUGACGGUACCCAAAGAAUAAGCACCGGCUAACUUCGUG